AUGAGUAAGAGGAAGGUGAGUGGAUAUCUACAACGAGGCUCUUCGUCGCUAUUGGAUGUUACAGUGAUGUCUGAAGAGGAGAAGAGAAAUGGACACAUUACAAUCCAAGGGAUUUCAGCUGGGUUGUCGCGGCUUCAUGCGGUUCAUCAAUGUAUCGAUGAGCUAAUUUAUAAUGUUAAUGAUUGGUGUGCUGUAAUUUUAUUGCGGAGCUGA